rnacentral:rRNA from 1 species
CCUACGGGAGGCAGCAGUGAGGAAUAUUGGUCAAUGGACGCGAGCCUGAACCAGCCAAGUAGCGUGAAGGAUGACUGCCCUACGGGUUGUAAACUUCUUUUAUAAAGGAAUAAAGUGUUCCACGUGUGCCUUUUUGUAUGUACCUUAUUAAUAAGGAUCGGCUAACUCCGUGCCAGCAGCCGCGGUAAUACGGAGGAUCCGAGCGUUAUCCGGAUUUAUUGGGUUUAAAGGGAGCGUAGAUGGGUUGUUAAGUCAGUUGUGAAAGUUUGCGGCUAAACCGUAAAAUUGCAAUUGAUACUGGCAGUCUUGAGUACAGUAGAGGUAGGCGGAAUUCGUGGUGUAGCGGUGAAAUGCUUAGAUAUCACGAAGAACUCCGAUUGCGAAGGCAGCCUACUAAACUGCCACUGACAGUGAGGCUCGAAAGUGUGGGUAUCAAACAGGAUUAGAUACCCCUGUAGUC